rnacentral:tRNA from 1 species
GGUAGAGUAAGCUAAAUGUUAAGCUGUUGGGCUCAUGUCCCGAAAAUGGUAUGAUAUAUUCAUGUCCUCUAUUA